rnacentral:rRNA from 1 species
UUCCCAGACUCCUACGGGAGGCAGCAGUGGGGAAUAUUGCACAAUGGGGGAAACCCUGAUGCAGCAACGCCGCGUGAAGGAAGACGGUUUUCGGAUUGUAAACUUCUAUCAAUAGGGAAGAAAGAAAUGACGGUACCUAAAUAAGAAGCCCCGGCUAACUACGUGCCAGCAGCCGCGGUAAUACGUAGGGGGCAAGCGUUAUCCGGAAUUACUGGGUGUAAAGGGAGCGUAGACGGUGAAGUAAGUCUGGAGUGAAAGGCGGGGGCCCAACCCCCGGACUGCUCUGGAAACUAUUUGACUGGAGUGCAGGAGAGGUAAGCGGAAUUCCUAGUGUAGCGGUGAAAUGCGUAGAUAUUAGGAGGAACACCAGUGGCGAAGGCGGCUUACUGGACUGUAACUGACGUUGAGGCUCGAAAGCGUGGGGAGCAAACAGGAUUAGAUACCCGUGUA